UACGAAGGGAGCUAGCGUUGUUCGGAAUCACUGAGCGUAAAGCGCACGUAGGCGGAUUUGCCAGUCAGGGGUGAAAUCCCGGGGCUCAACCUCGGAACUGCCUUUGAUACAGCAAGUCUUGAGUUCGAGAGAGGUGGGUGGAAUUCCUAGUGUAGAGGUGAAAUUCGUAGAUAUUCGGAGGAACACCAGUGGCGAAGGCGGCUUACUGGUCCAUUACUGACGCUGAGGUGCGAAAGCGUGGGGAGCAAACAGG
rnacentral:rRNA from 1 species